GACGGGACCCGCACAAGCGGUGGAUCAUGUUGUUAAUUCGACGCAACGCGAAGAACCUUACCAGGGCUUGACAUCCCCUGACCGCGUAUGAAAGUACGUUUUCACCCUCGGGUGACAGGGAGACAGGUGGUGCAUGGUUGUCGUCAGCUCGUGUCGUGAGAUGUUGGGUUAAGUCCCGCAACGAGCGCAACCCCUACGUUUAGUUGCUAACGCGUGAAGGCGAGCACUCUAGACGAACUGCCGUUGACAAAACGGAGGAAGGUGGGAUGACGUCAAAUCAUCAUGCCCCUUAUGUUCUGGGCUACACACGUGCUACAAUGGCCGGUACAGACGGACGCAAAGCCGCGAGGUGGAGCAAAUCCUAAAAAGCCGGUCUCAGUUCGGAUUGCAGGCUGCAAUUCGCCUGCAUGAAGUCGGAAUCGCUAGUAAUCGCAGGUCAGCAUACUGCGGUGAAUACGUUCCCGGGCCUU
rnacentral:rRNA from 1 species